GACGAACGCUGGCGGCGUGCUUAACACAUGCAAGUCGAGCGGAUAGGCCACUUCGGUGGUACUCGAGCGGCGAACGGGGGAGUAACACGUGAGUAAUCUGCCCUUGGCUUUGGGAUAGCCACCGGAAACGGUGAUUAAUACCGGAUAUGACCACUUCACGCAUGUGAUGGUGGUGGAAAGUUUUUCGGCCAGGGAUGUGCUCGCGGCCUAUCAGCUUGAUGGUGAGGUAAUGGCUCACCAUGGCUUCGACGGGUAGCCGGCCUGAGAGGGUGACCGGUCACACUGGGACUGAGACACGGCCCAGACUCCUACGGGAGGCAGCAGUGGGGAAUAUUGGACAAUGGGCGGAAGCCUGAUCCAGCAACGCCGCGUGAGGGAUGACGGCCUUCGGGUUGUAAACCUCUUUCGCCUAUGACGAAGCGCAAGUGACGGUAAUAGGUAAAGAAGCACCGGCCAACUACGUGCCAGCCGCCGCAGUAAAAC
rnacentral:rRNA from 1 species